AGCGAACGCUGGCGGCAUGCUUAACACAUGCAAGUCGAACGAUCCCUUCGGGGAUAGUGGCGGACGGGUGAGUAACGCGUGGGAACCUGCCCCGAGGUACGGAAUAACUCAUGGAAGCGUGAGCUAAUACCGUAUGUGACCUGAGGGUGAAAGAUUUAUCGCCUUGGGAGGGGCCCGCGUCGGAUUAGGUAGUUGGUGGGGUAAUGGCCUACCAAGCCUGCGAUCCGUAGCUGGUCUGAGAGGAUGAUCAGCCACACUGGAACUUAGACACGGUCCAGACUCCUACGGGAGGCAGCAGUGGGGAAUAUUGGACAAUGGGGGCAACCCUGAUCCAGCAAUGCCGCGUGCGUGAUGAAGGCCUUAGGGUUGUAAAGCGCUUUCGGCGGGGAAGAUGAUGACGGUACACGCAGAAGAAGCCCCGGCUAACUUCGUGCCAGCAGCCGCGGUAAUACGAAGGGGGCUAGCGUUGUUCGGAAUUACUGGGCGUAAAGCGCGCGUAGGCGGCUUUGUCAGUCAGGGGUGAAAUCCCGGGGCUUAACCUCGGAACUGCCUUUGAUACUGCAAGGCUUGAGUCUGUGAGAGGAUGGUGGAAUACCCAGUGUAGAGGUGAAAUUCGU
rnacentral:rRNA from 1 species